rnacentral:rRNA from 1 species
UGAGGAAUAUUGGUCAAUGGGCGAGAGCCUGAACCAGCCAAGUAGCGUGCAGGAAGACGGCCCUAUGGGUUGUAAACUGCUUUUAUGUGGGGAUAAAGUGCGUGACGUGUCAUGCAUUGCAGGUACCACAUGAAUAAGGACCGGCUAAUUCCGUGCCAGCAGCCGCGGUAAUACGGAAGGUCCGGGCGUUAUCCGGAUUUAUUGGGUUUAAAGGGAGCGUAGGCUGUCUAUUAAGCGUGUUGUGAAAUAUACCGGCUCAACCGGUGGCUUGCAGCGCGAACUGGUCGACUUGAGUAUGCAGGAAGUAGGCGGAAUUCAUGGUGUAGCGGUGAAAUGCUUAGAUAUCAUGACGAACUCCGAUUGCGAAGGCAGCUUACGGGAGUGUUACUGACGCUUAAGCUCGAAGGUGCGGGUAUCGAACAGG